GACGAGGGGUCCAAGCGUUGUUCGGAAUUAUUGGGCGUAAAGCGGGUGUAGGUGGCUCUAUAAGUCAGGAGUGAAAGCCCCGAGCUUAACUUGGGAAGUGCUUUUGAUACUGUAGAGCUUGAAUGUGGGAGAGGAUCGUGGAAUUCCUGGUGUAGCGGUGAAAUGCGCAGAUAUCAGGAAGAACACCCGUGGCUAAGGCGGCUCUCUAGUACGGUACUGACGCUGAGACGCGAAAGCGUGGGGAGCGAACAGG
rnacentral:rRNA from 1 species